AGCAGCUUGAUGGCCGUGUGAAGAGUUUGCACCCAAACAUACACGGUGGUAUCCUCGCUAGAAGAGAUGUGGAGCAUCAUAUGGAAGCUCUUAAUGAGCAUGGCAUUAGUACAUUUGAUGGAAAUUUAUUGUGGAACCGAACUAUUCCUCCGCCAUCUCCAAUAAGACCUGAAAGAUUGGAUGUUUCAGAUAAUCCAACGGCAAAACAAACCCCCUGCCUUCUCUGUUGUACACAGAGAAGUGUCCUUUCUUACACUGCCUCCACUUCUCCAUCAUAUUGGUGAGUUUAAGACUCUUGCAAGAUCCUUUCUUCAUAUGUUUCGACUCUGAUGUCUCUGCUCUUUGAUCUGUUACUAACAUAAUACCGUUGUGUAUACUAUUUGUUAGACUGUUACUGUCUGAAGCUAUACCUUCCUCUCUC